rnacentral:rRNA from 1 species
UGGCGGACGGGUGAGUAACGCGUGAACAAUCUGCCUAUGUCAGGGGAAUAACGCUGAGAAAUCGGCGCUAAUACCGCAUAAGACCACGGAAGGGCAUCCUUCAGAGGUAAAAGAUUUAUCGGACAUAGAUGAGUUCGCGUCCCAUUAGGUAGUUGGUGAGGUAACGGCCCACCAAGCCGACGAUGGGUAGCCGACCUGAGAGGGUGAUCGGCCACAUUGGAACUGAGAGACGGUCCAGACUCCUACGGGAGGCAGCAGUGGGGAAUAUUGGGCAAUGGAGGGAACUCUGACCCAGCAAUGCCGCGUGAGUGAAGAAGGUUUUCGGAUUGUAAAACUCUUUAAGUGGGGACGAAGAAAGUGACUGUACCCACAGAAUAAGCAUCGGCUAACUACGUGCCAGCAGCCGCGGUAAUACGUAGGAUGCAAGCGUUAUCCGGAAUGACUGGGCGUAAAGGGUGCGUAGGUGGUUUGCCAAGUUGGCAGCGUAAUUCCGUGGCUUAACCGCGGAACUACUGCCAAAACUGGUAG